rnacentral:rRNA from 1 species
GACGAACGCUGGCGGCGUGCUUAACACAUGCAAGUCGAGCGAGAAAAGUUCUUCGGAGCUUUUCUAGCGGCGGACGGGUGAGUAACACGUGGGCAACCUGCCUGGUAGAGGGGGAUAGCCUUCCGAAAGGAAGAUUAAUACCGCGUAACAUCAUUUUAAGGCAUCUUAGAGUGAUCAAAGGAGUAAUCCGCUAUCAGAUGGGCCCGCGUCCCAUUAGCUAGUUGGUGAGGUAACGGCUCACCAAGGCCACGAUGGGUAGCCGACCUGAGAGGGUGAUCGGCCACAUUGGGACUGAGACACGGCCCAGACUCCUACGGGAGGCAGCAGUGGGGAAUAUUGCACAAUGGGGGAAACCCUGAUGCAGCAACGCCGCGUGAGUGAUGAAGGCCUUCGGGUUGUAAAGCUCUGUCUUCAGGGACGAUAAUGACGGUACCUGAGGAGGAAGCCACGGCUAACUACGUGCCAGCCGCCGCCGUAAAAC